rnacentral:rRNA from 1 species
GACAGAGGAUGCAAGCGUUAUCCGGAAUGAUUGGGCGUAAGCGUCUGUAGGUGGCUUUUAAGUCCGCCGUCAAAUCCAGGCUCAACCCUGGACAGGCGGUGGAAACUACCAAGCUGGAGUACGGUAGGGCAGAGGGAAUUUCCGGUGGAGCGGUGAAAUGCGUAGAGAUCGGAAAGAACACCAACGGCGAAAGCACUCUGCUGGCCGACACUGACACUGAGAGACGAAAGCUAGGGAGCGAAUGGG